CCUACGGGCGGCAGCAGUAGGGAAUCUUCCACAAUGGAGGCAACCCUGAUGCAGCAACGCCGCGUGAGCGAUGAAGUAUUUCGGUAUGUAAAGCUCUAUUAGCAGGGAAGAAAAUGACGGUACGUGACUAAGAACCCCCGGCUAACUACGUGCCAGCAGCCGCCGUAAUACGUCGGGGGCACGCGUUCUCCGGAUUUACUGGGUGUAAAGGGAGCGUAGACGGCUUGUCAAGACAGAUGUGAAAGGCUGGGGCUCAACCCAAGGACGGCAUUUGGAACUGUCAUGCUAGAGUGUAGGAGAGGCAGGUGGAAUUCCGAGUGUAGCGGUGAAAUGCGUAGAUAUUAGGAGGAACACCAGUGGCGAAGGCGGCCUUCUGGACGAUGACUGACGUUGAGGCUCGAAAGCGUGGGUAGCAAACAGGAUUAGAUACCCGGGUAGUC
rnacentral:rRNA from 1 species